rnacentral:lncRNA from 1 species
UACAGGCCAAGACAGGCCAGACUCAGCCCUUUGGUAAAUUGUGAUCAUCCACAUGCAGCACUUCCCUGCAGUCAGUGCCAUGUCUCCAAAUUCAUCUCCUGGCAAUUAUAUCCAGAAACAAUAAGGUUUUCUACUGAAAACAAAAGCUUGUUGAGACAACAGCAUGAUCCUCGCUGGAAGAAACAUGGGCUUGGAAAAAGUGAGCCUUGAAGCGGGACAGAACAAAAGAAAUGGGAUCAAUGGUUGUGGCUGUGCACAGUACC